AAUUUCUUUAAUCCUAUACGGGUCCUAAUAACUUUGAGGUUUCUAUACAUUGACACCUCUUCUUUCAUUCUAUUCCUCUUCGGCCUUUCCCCCAAAACCAAAAAUCCUAGGGUUAGUACACAAUCGAAGCUGACCGUACAUGGCUGACCGGAACAACAAUUCAUCGGCGAUCACAGUAACACCGGCAAUAAAACCAAUAUGGGCAAAACAAGCCGAAGAAGCAAAGCUCAAAAGCGAAGCCGAAAAAGACGCCGCCGCUAAAGCCGCAUUCGAAGCCACUUUCAAAAACAUCGAUUCCUCUUCAACCGCCGCCAACAACGCCGCCGCCGCAACAUCCGACACUGACGAUGAGGAAUACGAGGAGAAACGGCUCGCAUCUAAGCCGGUCGGUCCAGUGGACCCUACAAAAUGUACGGCGGCUGGAGCUGGUAUAGCUGGUGGUACGGCUUGUGUUACGUCGACGUUUACUGUAGUUACGAAGGAUUGUGAUGGGAGGAAAGUUGGUGUUGGUGGGGCUGAGGUUAGGGUUAGGGUUUCACCCGGUGUUGGUGUUGGUGGAUCUGAUUUGGAAGGGAUAGUGAAGGAUAUGGGUGAUGGGAGUUAUACUGUCAGUUAUAUUGUGCAGAAAAGAGGGAAUUAUAUGGUUAAUGUGGAGUGUAAUGGCAAGAGUAUUAUGGGUAGUCCUUUCCCUGUUUUCUUCAGUACAGGCAGUACUACUGGCGGGUUAUUGGGUGUAUCAACGUCAACCACAUUUCCAAAUAUGGUCAACCAGAACAUGCCUAAUAUGCCAAACUAUUCUGGUUCGGUAUCUGGGGCAGUCCCAGGAUUGCUUGGGAUGAUACCAGGUAUUGUUCCUGGAGCUGGCGGAGGAGUAGUUUUACCUGGAAUUGGGGCAUCUCUCGGGGAAGUUUGCCGAGAAUACCUUUACGGACGGUGUGCAAAAACUGAUUGCAAAUUCAGUCACCCCCCUCACAAUCUUCUAAUGACUGCUCUAGCUGCGACCACCAGUAUGGGUACUCUUAGUCAAGUGCCCAUGGCACCUUCUGCGGCUGCUAUGGCUGCUGCUCAGGCAAUUGUUGCUGCACAAGCUCUUCAAGCGCAUGCUGCUCAGGCACAAGCACAGUCUGGAAAAGAUUCCUCUGGAUCAGGUGACAAAGAUGGAAAGGCCGAUUCCCUGCAAAGAACUUUGCAAGUCAGCAAUCUCAGCCCACUUUUGACAGUGGAUCAGUUGAAGCAGCUGUUUGGUUUCUGUGGUGCAAUCGUUGAUUGUAGCAUUACUGAAUCCAAACAUUUUGCUUACAUCGAAUACUCAAAGCCCGAAGAAGCAACUGCCGCUUUGGCGUUGAACAAUAUAGAAGUUGGUGGUCGCCCCUUAAAUGUUGAAAUGGCAAAACAACUUCCUCCAAAGGCAGCUGUAAAUUCAGGUUCUUCCUCUUUGCCCUUGAUGAUGCAACAAGCAGUAGCAAUGCAACAGAUGCAGUUCCAGCAGGCCCUAUUAAUGCAGCAAGCUAUGACUGCACAACAAGCAGCUAAUCGAGCUGCAACCAUGAAAACUGCUACUGAUUUGGCUGCAGCAAGAGCUGCAGAAAUAAGCAGGAUGUUGAAAGCUAAUGGUCUGGUCUCUGAAGACAAGGAAACUGAUGACAAGGCCAAGUCAGCAUCUCCCAGUCGUGCUAGGUCAAGAUCCAGGUCGCCAUCCAAAUCACGAUCCAGAUCAAGAUCUAAGUCCAGAUCUCCAAUAAGUUAUAGGCGAAGGCGGAGAUCCCGUUCUUUCUCUCCUCUGCCGCGGAGAUCAAGAGAUUAUAGAUCCAGAUCACCUGUGAGACCCCGGCGUUAUUCAGGCUAUGAAGAUGAAAGGCGGUCAUAUAGGGAUAUUAGACAUACUAGUGACAGAAGUAGAAAACGGGAUUUUGUUAGAUUCUAUGAUCGUCGUUCUCCUGUUUCAAGGAGAAAUAGAAGUAGGAGCACAAGUCCACGAACUAGAAAAUCUUACCGUGGUGAUUCAGGCUCACCGAAAUGCCGCCGAGAAAGUCCAGCACACAAGACAAGUAGAGCUUCUCGACGUGAGUCACUGUCGCCUGAACAUGGACGAAGAAGUAGGUCAUCCCCAAAAGAUGGUGAGAGAAAAUCAAAAUAUAGCAGGCGAUCGAGAUCAAAGUCUGCUGAAGUUAGGGACCAGUCUGAUGAUAAGCUAGAAGGAAGCAGGGGUGAGAAAGCCAAGCAGAAGGAUCAGGGAAGGUCAGCAUCACCACAGGUUGUUGAGGAUGCUCAGAAGAAAAUGUCACCAGAAGUCGUGGAAGAAAGCAAGUCAAAGCACAGAAGAACUUCCAGGUCCAGAUCCCCAGAAGAGAAGCAUCAUUUUAGCAGAAGCAGAGAAGAGAAAAGAAAGCAUCAUGCUAGAAGGCGCUCCAAGUCAAGGUCCAAAUCUCCUGAAGAGAAAGAUCACUCAAGUGAUAAAUUAGACAGAAAUAAAGGAGAUAAACCAAAGCAUCGAAGUAGAAGGCACUCAAAGUCAAGGUCCAGAUCUCCUGAAGAAAAACAUCGUUCAAGUGAUAAAUUGGAAAGGAGCAGAAAAGAGAAAUCAAAAAAUCGAAGUAAAAAGCGGUCCAGGUCAAGAUCUGUCGAUGAUAAGCAGCACGGAAGUAAACCGUCUGCAAACCGUUCGGAUAAUCGACGAUCAAAGCACAGGGGACGGUCUAGAUCAAAAUCUUCUGAAAGUAGGCAUGGAUCAGGUGAAGAUGAAACCAUAAAGGAUGAAGUGAGAGGUCAUAGGGGUCAUCAGAGAAGCUCCAGGCAGUAUGACAGUAAUCGUGGAAUGGCUGAGGCUAGCUUGAUGGAAGAAGAUCCUGCUAAGGGAAUGUGAACCAGUGACUGAUAGCUUCCAAUUCAAAGAGUUCUGAAUCUAUGGGUUAUGGCUUGUGAUACUUGAUUGUGCGAACAUUUUAUUUUACCAUUGCAGAAAAUAUGGAAAGUUUUGAGGAAGCAUGGUGCCCUGGAGGAACGUGAUCCCAAGACAUAGAUUGACUUGAUGAUCGAGAUUUGUUAAGAGUGAAUUAAUUGCAGUUUGUAUGACAAAAACGCCUAUUUUUGCUUCUUUUGCAGGUCCUCCAUGGAACAUAAGCGGAAAGUGAAGUAGCAUUAGUUGAAAGAUCGAAUAUCAAGUUUGCUUCUGCCCAUCUUGGAUCAACUGGUGCUGAGUUUCUUGUGAACUACUUUUUGAGCUCAUUUAUGGUGAACUUUUACCUCUAUCAGUAGGUUAUGGGACUGGUUCUUGUCGGCGCUUUAUCAAAUGAAUGGGCAAAGUUAUAUCUGAUUGUAUUUGAAGGUAUGCAAUUGAAAAUUUUGGUUGUUUAAAUGGGAGAGCAUUCACUGCUUUUUGGAACAAUUAUUUUAAGAAUGCUGGCAGAAAAUUGUUCGGAUGAAGAAAUGUAUUAAAGCUUAAGGAUGUUAUUUUUCACAUUUUUGCAUUGCGUCUUUCCUCAUCUUCUCUUCUCCCUUUUUUCGUUUUCUUCCUUUUUUCCCCCUCUUUUUUUUUUCUUCUUUCUUUUGUUUUUCUUCUUGAAAAUGUUUGGUUAGGCAGGCUGAUAUUAAGAUUAAUGCAACCAGAUGUUGCUGAGAUGAGUAAAGCAUGAUGCUCCCUGAAUCGAGCAUGAACAGAUAUACUCAUAUCUGAACUUUAAUUGGUGGAACUCAAUUGUUGUUCCAUAACAGGUGGUGCUGGAUGUAUGGGACUGAGAGCUGUAUCCUGUUGUCAAACUAGAUGUGGUUGAUGUCACACUUCUUAUUUCCUUCCCUUCCCCUCCCCUCUCUCCCUUUGUCUCUUUACACUUUUACCCUUCCAUCUUUCAUCUCUGCUACUCUCCCUUUUCCUCUUUCUCUCUGGUGGUUAAGUUUUUUAAGAAAUAGUAUACUAGCAAAAAGGCACAAGCAGCAAGGCGAGGAAACAUUAGUUUUGGUUGGUGAUUCCACAAUGUAUUUUUGCUAGGAUGCCUUUGUUUGGACAAAAAUUAUAACAUAAUGCUUAUAACCUUCUUUCCUGACAAA